CAGCAUCACGGGUGUCACUAUCAGUACUGGUGUCAGUAUCACCAGUGUCACCACUGGUACUGGUGUUGGCAUCACCGGUGUCACACCAACACCGGUGUCAGCGUCUCCGGUGUCACACCGGUCCCAGUUCCAGCCUCACCAGUGUCACCAUUGUCUGAGGUGUCAGCAUCACCAGUGUCACACCAACCCUGGUGUCAGCGUCUCCCGUGUCACACCGGUCCUGGUUCCAGUGUCACCAAUGUCCCAGUUCCAGCCUCACCAGUGUCACCAUCCUUCAAGGUGUCAGCAUCACCAUCCUCUAAGGUGUCACCAUCACCGGUGUCACACCAACCCUGGUGUCAGCAUCUCCCGUGUCACACCGGUCCUGGUUCCAGUGUCACCAAUGUCCCCGGUGUCAGCCUCACUGGUGUCACCAUCCUCCGAGGUGUCAGCAUCACCACUGUCCCUGGUCAGCCUCACUGGUGUCACACCAACCCUGGUGUCAGCGUGUCCAGUGUCACAUCAGUCCCAGUUCCAGCCUCAACAGUGUCACCAUCGCCCGAGGUGUCAGCAUCACCGGUGUCACACCAACCCUGUUGUCAGCGUCUCCCGUGUCACACCGGUCCUGGUUCCAAUGUCACCAAUGUCCCCGGUGUCAGCCUCACUGGUGUCACCAUUGUCCGAGGUGUCAGCAUCACCAUUGUCCAAGGAGUCAGCAUCACCAGUGUCACACCAACACUGGUGUCAGCGUCUCUGGUGUCACACCGGUUCCGGUUCCAGUGUCACCAUCCUCCGAGGUGUCAGCCUCACUGGUGUCACCACUGUCUGAGGUGUCAGCAUCACCGGUGUCACCAUUGUCCGAGGUGUCAGCAUCACCAGUGUCACACCAACCCCGGUGUCAGCGUCUCUGGUGUCACACCGGUCCCGGUUCCAGUGUCACCAUCCUCCAAGGUGUCAGCAUCACUGGUGUCACCAUCGUCCGAGGUGUCAGCAUCACUGGUGUCACACCAACACCGGUGUCAGCCUCACCAGUGUCACCAUUGUCCGAGGUGUCAGCGUCACCAAUGUCCCUGGUGUCAGCGUCUCUGGUGUCACACCGGUCCCAGUUCCAGUGUCACCAUCCUUUGAGGUGUCAGCCUCACCAGUGUCACCAUCCUCCGAGGUGUCAGCGUCACCAAUGUCCCUGGUGUCAGCCUCACCGGUGUCACACCAACCCCGGUGUCAGCGUCUCCGGUGUCACACCGGUCCCAGUUCCAGCCUCACCAGUGUCACCAUUGUCUGAGGUGUCAGCAUCACCAGUGUCACACCAACCCUGGUGUCAGCAUCUCCCGUGUCACACCGGUCCUGGUUCCAGUGUCACCAAUGUCCCAGUUCCAGCCUCACCAGUGUCACCAUCCUUUGAGGUGUCAGCAUCACCAGUGUCACCAUCGUCCAAGGUGUCAGCGUCACCGGUGUCACACCAACCCCGGUGUCAGUGUCUCUGGUGUCACACCGGUCCCAGUGUCACACCAGCCCCGGUGUCAGCCUCACCGGUGUCACACCAACCCCGGUGUCAGCGCCUCUGGUGUCACACCAGCCCCGGUGUCAGCCUCACCGAUGUCACACCAACCCCGGUGUCAGCGUCUCUGGUGUCACCAUCCUCCAAGGUGUCAGCCUCACCAGUG
rnacentral:lncRNA from 1 species